GACGAACGCUGGCGGCGUGCUUAACACAUGCAAGUCGAACGAAGUGGCGAACGGGUGAGUAAUACGUGGGUAACCUGCCCUCCUUUUUGGGAUAAGCCUUGGAAACGGGGUCUAAUACCGAAUACAGGGGGGUGGGCUCGCGGCCUAUCAGCUUGUUGGGUGGGUGAUGGCCUACCAAGGCGGUGCCGGGUAGCCGGCCUGAGAGGGUGACCGGCCACAUUGGGACUGAGAUACGUCCCAGACGUCUACGGGAUGCAGCAGGGGGGGAUAUUGCACAAUGUGCGAAAGCCUGAUGCAGCGACGCCGCGUGGGGGAUGAAGGCUUUCGGGUUGUAAAGUACUUUCAGCGAGGAGGCGUUACUCACAGAAGAAGCACCGGCUAACUCCGUGCCAGCAGCCGCGGUAAUUC
rnacentral:rRNA from 1 species